rnacentral:rRNA from 1 species
ACAAGCCUGAGAAACGGCUAGUAGGACUAAGGUCUGCAGCAGGCGCGAAACUUACACAAUGCUAGAUUAACAUUAGCGAUGUAGUGAAGAAAAAUAACGAUAUACUUCCUUUUAAACAAGGUAGUAUAAUUGGAAUGAGGCGAUUUUAAACCAAUUAGCCGAGUAACAAAUGGAGGGCAAGUCUGGUGCCAGCAGCCGCGGUAAUUCCAGCUCCAUUAGCAUACAUUAAAGUUGUUGCGGUUAAAAAGCUCGUAGUUGAAUUUCUAGCGGUUUUUAAUGGUUGAGUUCCAUUAAGGCGUUGGUUGGAGAUUGUCGAAACUUCACUGUCUCCUCAUAUCCCCUCCAAUCGCUGGUUCUCAAACCCAUUUCAAAGCCGCUGUUUCGUCACUUAAUCGAGUGCGAAGCAGGUUGGAACAAACCCUCGAAUUUUAGGAUUCAGGUUGUUACAACGCGUUUACCUUGAGAAAAUUAGAGUGCUCACAGCAGGCAGUUGGGAUGUAAAAGUCCCUUUAUGCUUGAAUAAUGUUGCAUGGAAUAAUAGAAUACGGCCUCGGUUCUAUUCUGUUGGUCUUAUAGAACAACAAACAAGUUGGUUGAUGUGGCGUUUAAAAGUUUACUUAAAGUGUGGUUCAAUUGGACUGCGCGCUCUCUCAUAACUUGUUGCCUAGCGGUUAAACGUUAGAGCCAUUUAUCGGAGUACGCAACUCCUCUUUUGCCAUUAAAGCACUCUAUGCUAAGCUAGCUCUCACUCCAACUGAGGCAAUGGUUAAAAGAAAUAGUCGCGGCGGCAUCAGUACUGCAUCGUGAGAG